rnacentral:rRNA from 1 species
UGCGCAGGCGGACUGGUAAGUCAGUGGUGAAAUCUCGUCGCUUAACGACGAAACUGCCUUUGAUACUACCAGUCUUGAAUCCGGUAGAGAUCUGUGGAAUUCCGAGUGUAGCAGUGAAAUGUGUAGAUAUUCGGAAGAACACCAGUGGCGAAGGCAGCAGAUUGGGCCGGUAUUGACGCUCAGGCACGAAAGCAUGGGGAUCAAACA